CCCUAAGCGGGGGUACGCCAGCCGGUGGAUGCCUCGGCUUGGGCGCUGAAGAAGGACGUGGCAAGCUGCGAUAAGCCCUGGGUAGCCGCAGGCGGGCGUUGAUCCAGGGAUCUCCUAAUGGGAUUUCCUGGGGUGGCUUCGGCCACCUCGUUCCCGGGCCUCGAGCCUGGGAUCGGGAACCCCCCGAACGGAAGCAUCCAAGUAGGGGGAGGAGAAGAAAUCAAACCGAGAUUCCCUUAGUAGGGGCGACCGAAAGGGGAGAAGCCCAAACCGAACCGCCGCGGGUAACCGCGGUGGAAUGUGGGGUUUUGGGCCGUGGGUCCACCCUGAAGGCCGAGCCGAACUCCCCUGGAACGGGGGGCCGUAGAGGGUGAUAGCCCCGUAGGCGGAGGCUGGAGGGGUGAUGCUGCGGUUCCAGAGUACCGCACCUCGGAUUUGGUGUGGGAAGUUGGGGGCUACUGGCCUCCAAGGCUAAAUACGUCCCAAGACCGAUAGCGGACCAGUAGCGUGAGCGAAAGGUGAAAAGUACCACGGGAGUGGGGUGAAAAGCGUCUGAAACCGGCUGGUAACAGACGAGCACGGCCUGAAAGGGCAUUCCCCGCGAAGCCCCGGCGAGGGGCGAGUGGGGACAGUUCCAGGGUCGUGCACUCCGUCUUGAAUCACGGGCCGGGGAGUUCACGGGUGUGGCAAGCCUAAGGGCAUGUAAGCCCGUAGGCGUGGGGAAACCGACAUGCCCGCAGCCGGAGUACGCUCCGGUGAGGGGCGGGGUCUGAAAGGGCCCGUAGUCACGCCCGUGAGGCUAGAAACCGGGCGAUCUAGCCCUAGGCAGGGCGAAGCCAGGGGAAACCCUGGUGGAGGCCCGAAUAGGGGUCUUGAUGUGCAAUUCGGUCCCCUGACCUGGGGCUAGGGGUUAAAAGCUAAUCGAGCCCGGUGAUAGCUAGUUCCCCCCGAAGUGUCUCGCAGGACAGCCUCGGGGGAGGUUGCCCGCGGGGUAGAGCACCGAUGGGGGAGCAAGGGGCCGAUGAGGCUCCACUCUCCUUUCGAACUCCGAAUCUGCGGGCGCCGUAGAACCCGGGAGUGGGGUACCGGGGGUAAGCUCCGGGACCGAGAGGGGAACAACCCAGACCGCGGGUUAAGGCCCCUAAGUGCCCGCUAAGUGACAAACCAAAGGGCGUCUUCACCCUGAGACAGCGGGGCCGUAGGCUUAGAAGCAGCCAUCGGCUAAGAAGUGCGUAACAGCUUACCCGCCGAGGGUGGGGGCCCCGAAAAUUGACGGGUCUAAGCGGGCCGCCGAAACCCGGGCUCACCCACGCCGUGCGUGGGUGGGGGUAGGGGGGCGUAGCGGUUGGGUAGAAGCGGGGCCGUGAGGUCCCGUGGACCGGCCGCUAAUGUAGAUCCCGGUGGUAGUAGACAGCGAAGAGGGGUGGGAAUCCCCUCCGCCGGAAGGGCACGGGUUUCCCGGCAAUGCGUCGUCAGCCGGGAGUAAGCCGGUCCUAAGGCCGACCUUAACCGGGUAGGCCGAAGGGGAAACCGGUUAAGAUUCCGGUGCCUCCUGGAUAGGUGCGGCGACGCAAGCCGGUCUCCCAACGCCUCGGGUAAGGCCGAGCAGGGCUGUAGCUCUGUCUAACCUCCCAAGCCUGGGGAGAGCCGUAACGGCGAGAACCAGGUGAAUGGAGGGACGGGGCGGCCGUAAGGCCGCUUCGGCUGGACCCUGGGGCCAGUGAAAAGGGAGACCGGAACGAUUCCAGGAGACCGUACCUAGAUCCGACACAGGUGCCCCUGGCUGAGAAGGCCAAGGCGUCUGGGGUUACUCCGGGCUAGGGAACUCGGCAAAUUAGCCCCGUAACUU
rnacentral:rRNA from 1 species